rnacentral:tRNA from 1 species
GGGUUGUUAUUCUAAUUAAAAUAUUUGAUUUCGGCUCAAAAGCUGGCGGUUAAAGUCCGCUACCACCCU